UACGAAGGGGGCUAGCGUUGCUCGGAAUCACUGGGCGUAAAGCGCGCGUAGGCGGGUCCUUAAGUCAGGGGUGAAAUCCCGGAGCUCAACUCCGGAACUGCCUUUGAUACUGGGGAUCUCGAGUCCGGAAGAGGUGAGUGGAACUCCGAGUGUAGAGGUGAAAUUCGUAGAUAUUCGGAAGAACACCAGUGGCGAAGGCGGCUCACUGGUCCGGUACUGACGCUGAGGUGCGAAAGCGUGGGGAGCAAACAGG
rnacentral:rRNA from 1 species